UGCAAAUGCUGUAACUGCAUCAAGAGCUUCUUUCUUUGAUGCUUUCUCCCAUGAAAGCCUUAUAGAUAAAUUCAGGAAGUGUGGGAUAGAUGUGUGGACAGUGGAUUGAGAACGGGCUAUCUGGCAGAGCUCAGACAGUUGUGACACAGUGUGUCAGCAGCACAGUCUGGUUGGAGGCCUGCAACAAGUGAUGUUCCCCAGGGAUCGGUGUUAGGUCCAAUCUUGUUCAGCAUCUUCAUCAAUGACCUAUAUGAAGGGAUGGAGUCCACCUUCAGCAAGUUUUAUGAUGAUACAUAGACAGGAGGAGUGGCUGACACACCAAAAAGCUACCACUCAGCAAGACCUAGGCUGGCUGCAGAGUUGGGUGGAGGGGAACCAGAUGAAGUUGAACAAGGGUGAAUGUACAGUGCUGCACCUGGGGAGAAAUCAUGGCAUGCAUCAGUACAGGUUAGGAGCUGACCUACCAGAGAGGAACUCUGUAGAGAAGAUCUGGGUGUCCUGGUGGGCAACAGGGUGGCCACGAGCCAGCAGUAUGUCCAUGUGGCCAAGGUCAAUGGGAUCCCAGAGUGCAUUAGAAAGAGUGUGGCCUGGAGUACUGUGCCCAGUUCUGAGCUCCUCAGUUCAAAAAAGGCAGGUAUCUCCUAGGAAGAGUCUGGUGGAGGGCAACAAGGAUGAUUAAGGGCAUGUCCUGUACAAGGAAAGGCUGGGAAACCUGGGGCUGUUCAGCCUGGAGAAGAGAAGACUGAGAGGGGAUCUCACCAAUGUUGAUGAGUAUGUGUAAUGGGUGGGUGUCAAGUAAAUGGAGCCAGGCUCUUUUUUGGCAGUUACCAGCAACAGAACAAGAUGCAGUGGGCACAAACUGAAAUAUAGGAACCUCCAUCUGAACAUGAGAAAGAACUUCUUUCCAUUGGGGAAUGACAGGGCGCUGGAAUAACAGCCCAGAAAGGCUGAGGAGUCUACUCACGGAGAGCGGAAGGGCAGCGCUGAGCUCUGCUCUCUGUGACAGCCCAGGGCCCGAAGGAACGGCAUGGAGCUGUCAGGGGAGGGGCAGCUUUGGGUUAGGGAAACGGGCUGCACCAGAGGGCGGUGGGCAUGGAACGGGCUGCACAGGGCAGUAGGCACAGCCCCAAGUUGCUGGAGUUCAAGGAGCGUUUGAAUACCACUGUCAGACAUAGGGUCUGAAUUUUGGGUGGUCCUGUGUGGGGUUGGGAGUUGGACUUAAUGGUCCUUGUUGGUCCCUUCCAACUAAGGAUAUACUGUAAUUCUGUGAUUCUGGCAUUUACCAGGAGUACGAGUCACAGGCUCACAGAAUCAUCAGGGAUGGAUAAGACCUUCAAGAUCAUCAAGUCCAAACAUCAACCUGACCUGCGGAGUUGCUAAAACUUGCCCCACAUCCACAUGACUUUAUAAGACAGAGCUGUAUUUUCCACUUUAACCAAACCUGCCCUGCUCUGCAAGCCAUUUCUUCUCUCUCUGCCCUUCUGCUAGCCCUGCCAUGCCACUCCUCCCCAUGUAUUCUGGAUGGCGAGGCGAGGCUGUAAUGCCCCACAGCACACCGGCUUCGAACACCUGCAAGGAAUUAAGGGAGGGUGAAAUACUCCCAGGAGCCUGUUGCGCAUCCUUUAGCCUCUACAAAAUCCUGAAUUCCUUUUGCAUGAGAACAUGGGUACAUCUGCUUGCAAUCAUCGUUCCCCAGUCAGCCGGCCUGCCGAAGCAGAAACAUGAUUCUCCACACUUUGGUCAGCAUUCGCAGCCGUGGGGCCAGGAUUGGAGAGGAGCAGAAUAAGCCUGCCUUUCAGCCGCGCUUCCCCAGCAGCCUGCCUGCCCCAGUGCUCACAGUCCUGUGUGCUCCUUGCCCUACUUUCAGGGAUUGAGAAAUGCUUAAAUAAAGAGAAACUUGUUCUGUGGUGGAAAAAUGGUCACUUCUUCUGGCGAGGCAUUUGAGAAGGAGACAGGAAGCAUGUUAUUUUAAAGGUUGUAGAAUAGAAUCACAGAAUCAUUACGUUUGGAAAGGACCACCAAGAUCAUCCAGUCCAACCAGCAGCCCACCCCUACCAUGCCCACUGACCACGUCCCUCAGUGCCACAUCCACACGGCUCUUGAGCACCUCCAGGGAUGGUGACUGCACCACCUCCCUGGGCAGCUGUGCCACUCCUUCUGAGAAGAAAUCUUUCCUCACAUCCAGCCUGCACCUUGCCAGUAAAACUUGAGACCGUUACCUGUUGUGCUAUUGAUGAGAUAGAUAUAUAGUGCUUCUAUAGAUUUGCCAGAUUAGAUUUAGAAGACAGCAGCCUUGAAUGCUUCUACACAAAAGGACUAAAUUUACUUUAUGAAUGCAAUUAAGAAUGUCAUGUUUUGGGAAUAAAGUGAAGAUAUUCUUAACAAGAGAAAACCUGACCAUCAAGUAGCCCAGUUUUCCUGUGAUUCCUGAAAGCAUGCUGAAGGCAAUGACCACAGCACCCUCUUCAUCCUCAGCUCUGAUUGUGCUUGAGCAUCGUCAGGUGGGACAUCCACCGAUCUGGUUAACAGGACCUGAGCUGACGUCUUGCUAUGUCCCCAGAUGACAUGGCGGCAGAGAGAAUUCUGUAGUGGGAGUCCAGCCAAGGAGACCUUGGCUCUCCAAAGCCUCUGCACUGUUUACAUAUGCCCCACACUCACCAGCCUUUUGGCUCUGCUUUUGCUGAGGGACAGCGUGCUCCUCCACACUUACAUGACAUUCAGAAAUCUAGCUCUUUAAGAGAGGAUCAUCUGUG
rnacentral:lncRNA from 1 species